rnacentral:lncRNA from 1 species
AGCUUUUUUAGGACAACCUUCUCCACCAAUUUUCUAGCCUAUUACGGGUAUGUUCUUGUAAGAAUAAGUCAUCCAAAUGAUCAUCUAUACUUAAUUUGAUCUUAGCUACCCAACAUUUUGCCCAUCUUCAAUGUUCCAAAGAGAGGAAUUUUUAGGAAUCAUGGCGAGCUGCUGUCAUUCUUCUCUUUUGAUGUCACCAGCUCCGACAACAUUAUCAACUAUGGCAAGCUUUCCAACCAGCUCCCUUACAUAAGCUUUUGAACCUAAAACUUUCUCAUCCUCUCAGUCUUAAUUGAUUGUUAAAUUAAAUUAGGUUUAAGGUAAGUAAAAAUAGGUUCUUUAAUUUUUGAUUUUUGCCUCAUCUUUAAAAUGGGUGAGAACUAGAUCUAUUCAUGUAGGAAUUAGAUGAUUGUGCUGGGUUGUUAGGUUGUUGGCUUAAAUUGGGUGUUAAUUUAUUUUCAAACUAUAUCAUUUUAAUAAUAAUAAACUCAUGACCAAAACUUUUAAAUAAUUAGCUAGAUAACCUGCCGUGACCUUACUUAUGGAUAUUAGAAAGUGGCCAAUCAUAUUAAUUUUAUGUAAAAUGAUUUAGACUUUGAGUUAGUAUGGUAUUACUUGUAGUUAAAUGCAAGAGUAUUUGUUUUAAAUGAAUUUAAAGAAAAAAAUAUAGAAUAUAAGACAUUAAAGCUAGUUAAGGAGAAGUAAUAAAAAUGCCCUAUCAGAUCAUUACGUCGUUCAUCCUUAAGUGGUGAUUUGUUUAAUAGAUAUAAUUAUUAGAAAUGAUUCUUUCUUUAUCAUAAAAACCAUGAAUAUGCAUUUCUUUUCAUAUGCAUCAAUUCUAACUUGCUGUAUUGAAUCUUAGCCAAUAUCAAUAAUAAGGCUCAUGCAUUUUAAUAAGCAUGAACAUAAUUUUAGGAGUGAGCAUCAUAUAGACUUAGAAAAUGUUUAUAUUAAUAUGGUUUGAAAUGUAUUAAUGAAACCCAAAUGAAUAAAAGAAAAUAAAAAUGUUAGUGUUGCAUUCUUAUGGUGACUUUCUAUUGGCCCUUCUUGUAUUUUUUUUCCUCUCUAAUUGUCUUUUUUAUAUGCAAGUUUAGUAACAUUAUGAUUCGUUAACUGCUAAAUUA